UACAGAGGUCCCGAGCGUUGUUCGGAUUCAUUGGGCGUAAAGGGUGCGUAGGCGGUCUGCUAAGUUUGAUGUGAAAUCCCGGGGCUCAACCCUGGAAUUGCAUUGAAUACUGGCGGACUAGAGUACUGGAGAGGAAACUGGAAUUUACGGUGUAGCAGUGAAAUGCGUAGAGAUCGUAAGGAAGACCAGUGGCGAAGGCGAGUUUCUGGACAGUAACUGACGCUGAGGCACGAAGGCCAGGGGAGCAAACGGG
rnacentral:rRNA from 1 species